rnacentral:lncRNA from 1 species
CAAUCCACCUCCAGAUGGCUGAGUACCUUCAAAGGUGCUUCUGACAUAAAAGGUUAGACAGAUUUCUUACAUCCAAUCAAUUAUAUUGCCCUUGUAAAUAUGCAACCUGAGUUUUGUUUGUUUUUUAGUCUGAAUGUCUGUAUUAGGAUGGGCUCUCCAGGAAAAAGAUUUUGAGUCUGAGAUUUGUGUGCAGGAUGUUCAUUAGGGAUAUACCCUGGCUCACCCAUGGGGGGUGAAGGACAUGAGACUGGGCACAGAGAAGAGGUGAAUUGGAUGCAAUCACAACAAAAAUCAUUCCAGAAAAGGGACUCAGCUGACAGCUAUCAGCCACCAACAUUUUGCAGUUGGAGGAAUAAAUAUCUCAGUCCUGAAGGGGAAUCCAGACAGCACCUCAUAGCAUUCAUUUCAACAGAACCACUACAAUGGUAAAUCCUCUGCACUCUCCAGCUGUCUGAAGUGUCCCAAGCAAGAAGGAGACUUCUCGACUCCCUCUUUAAAUCAGCCAGUGUCAACAGAUUGAGGAAGAGGAGGAGCUGAAGUGCAGAGGGAGAAGAAGGAAUAGUUUCUGGGCUCACACCCAUAAUCCUACACUGUACACAGAAAAGGAACUGAACAAAUAUUCCAAAGAAAGAAAAGUAGUUGUUCCUGUAUUAUGCAAAUAGAGAAGAAGCUUUUUUAUAUUUCCCCAAGCUUUCCAAAGUGGCUGUUUAUUUUACCAUAAUAUUAUUUUCUUAACAAGUUGCUAAAUAAUUAGUAUUUCCAUUUCAUCCUCUAACUUAUGGAUGCUUUCUGGGUCCCCCUCUUCAUUUUUUAUUCCUCUUGAUUAUUUCUGAUAAGAAAUGAACAGAUCAAAACUAUAGCUGAGGUGACCAAACAUAUGUAUAUAAUCUAUCUGAUGAGGCUAUCAAAAAGCUCAAAUUUGGAGCAUGGUAAAACUAUUUUUUCAAAAAAAAAUUAAACUAAACCACCAGUAAAAAUUUUUUUCUAGGACCACACAAUCAGUAGUUUAAGAGAAAAAAAAUGGUUUAUAUUUAAUUGGUCAUGAACUGAGUGAUGUGAUGAAAAGAAAGUGUUAAGAGGAAUAAAACCCCAAAGAUAAUAUUAUAAAGGCUUUCC